GAGGUAGCCAACAAAUACAAAAACACACACAACUCUGUUCCGCAGGGUAGCUGUUGACAUUAUAGUUGUGCAGGAACUUUGUUGACUCUAGAGAGCCUCGGGCAAAUCGCAUAUCCCCGUGGCGGCGACUUUGCAUGCGGAUGUCAUCCAUAUCAACUUUCGAUUCCAGUUUCUGCGCCUACCAUGGUGACCACGGGUAACGGGGAAUCAGGGUUCCAUUCCGUACAGGGACCCUGAGAAAUGGCUACCACAUGCAAGGAAGGCAGCAGGCGCGCAAAUUACCCACUCCCGACGUGGGAAGGUAG